UAUAGACUAUUAAUGGGAUUGAAUUAUUAGUUAUAUAUAAAAGUAUAGAGUCUAUUCAAGUCCCACAUUGACUGCAAAGAGAGAUUAUAUGUAACCAAGUAACAAAUAAAAUAGUGCGGCAUAAGUCAUGGAAAAUCAUACCUUUCUCGGCCUUUUAGCUAAGAUCAAGUGUAGUAUCUGUUCUUAUCAGUUUAAUAUCUGAUAUGUGAGUCAUCGACUCACACGAUAUUAACUCUAUUUUUUUAGGGGGAAGGUUCACCACGAUAGCUUGCUAUCGGGACCUUCAAGAGUCGCCUUGGUGUUGCACUACUGCCUUGGCCAGGCUCACCCCACCAAUUUUAGUUCUAAAAGCAUUUUGUUUCAUAAAAGCAUACAAUUUGUCCCUUUCAAUGAACAUUUGAAUUGAAAUCAGAUACUAACUAUAUAAGUAGCUAUAACUCAUAAAAUCUUGAGACUAAUGUUAAAUGGUGACCCCAAAAAGUAUGAUAAUUCGAUUCUCAUGUUGUAAUCUCUAACGACAUUUUAAUUCGAUUCCUAUGUUUGUAAUCUCUAACGAUAUUGAAAAUAAUAAUGGAAAAAGGAGUGGCUCAGAUGUGCUAUUUUUGUCAUCUAAUAUCAGUCAGACAUGGUGAACACCCAAAGUUUUCACAUUUGCACAAUUAUCUUCAUGGCACUCCCACCCACUAGACCACUGUGCUUAGAGAUAUUAUAAUACUUCUUUCGUUUUUAUUUAUAUUUCAUCACUUUACGUGAAAAAAUUUACUAUUCUAUCCCUAUUCACCCCAUAUUAGUUUUCUAUGUUGGUCAAAGAAAUAUUUUCAAGACUAAUAACUCAUAAGGGUAUAAGGAUGACAUAUAAAAAGGAACAAAGGAAGUAUGUUUUAUCUUCUUGUACGUAGCUACAAGGCAGCACUCCUAAAAUGUUUUAUAUCAAUAAAUUGAAAAUGUAUGAUCAAGUGUAGUAUGUGUUCUUAUCAGUAUAAUAUCUUAUAUUAAACUUCAGUUCAACUUUCAAAGAAAAUAUUUAUAGUACCUAAAUUAGUGCUAGACUUAUCACAAAAAUCUAAUAUAAGAAGAUGAUGUAUGUAUAUGUAGUCAAAUAUGUAUUGUAUGGAUAAAUACGUCCACGAUUAAAAUAUUGCACGCUAUUUAAUUGUAACCAUCACUUAAUUACAAUAAAAGUAUAUUAAUGAUAAUAAACAAACUCAAUAUAUCUAAUCAAUUCUUCAAAGUAUAUUUAUUUAUUUCUUCUUCUUUUGUUGCUUUUUUUUUUCUUUGAAAAUUGUAUAUUUAUGUUAUUUAUUUAUGAAAAAGUAUAUGAAAUAUUUUUAAAAAUUAUACAAACUAAAUGCUUUUAUAUAUAAAAAGUUAUAAUUUUAAAAAUUAUAUAUUUCAUGUCGGGUUGAUUUGAUCUCGAAUUCACAUUUUUUUAGGUCAAACCAAACCAAUCAAGUUAGGUUGUGGAAUGGACCGAAAGCCACAAUUAACUUUGAAAACUAGAGAGAUCCCUUUUUUUUAAGUUUAAAUCUGGACUCAUGGUUUAUUUAAUAAAAGAUGGGCUUCUAAACGGAUCCACGCAUAAAUAUAUCAAAAAAGAGUUGGUCGCCCAUAAGUGGUCAGACCAGGUGAAUAUAAAAGAACCCUAAAUGAUAGGGUUUUCUGACUUGUGCUCUCCGCCUCUUCUUCUCAUUGUUUUCAUCGCCUUUGCGGAGAUGUUUCUCUUGUGCUCCACAACUGCAGCUUCUUCCCCAUUCGGUUAUGCGGCAUUAACAUUUUCCACCUUAAUGUUGUUGCAGUGGAGAUCAACUUUCAAAGGCAUCUUCAUUGUUUCGUUUCUCAAAAGACUUCUUUUUGUUUGAAGGUGUACUACAAAUUAUUAUGUAUUGAGAAAAAUGGUGGAGACGGAAUAAAAUUGAUGUUGAGAUUUUAUAUGCAAAAUCCAACUAAUUCAAGAUUGAGGUAUUAUUACAAUUGUUAAAUUCCUAUUUAUGUAUUAUUACUAUACUGCAUAUUUUUAGAAAGGAAAAAGAAUAAUGUUUUCCAUGUCAGAAGAAACCCUAAAAAAGUAUUCAAUUUUUCAACUAAAAUUCACACGCACGCAUAUGCACACGCACACACGUGCACAUACACAAAAAAUAAGAUAAUGACAUUAUUAAAUACAUAAUGCCUCUUCUAUUUAAAAUACAUAAUGCCUCUUCUAUUUAAAUAAUAUUAAGUGUAUUAUUUAUAUUUUGCAUGAUCUCACGAAGUGAGGAUGCGUUCACUUGUGCAAAAUUAAAGAACAAAUAUUAUUAUCAUUCUUAGUGUUGAACAAACUUUUUUUAGCAGUAGUAUCAAUUUGAUAUUAAUUUGAGUUUUGUUAGAGUUACUAAUAUCUGUAGAUGAUAACUUUUAUUGGACCAUUCAAAAUUCAAGUCUCAGAAGUUAGAAAUACUAUAAUAAAAGAUUAAAACAAUGAAAAAGUAUAUGAAAUAAAUUUAAAAAUAAUACAACGUAAAUACAUAUUUAAAAAAUUAUAACUUAAAAAAUUAUAUAUAUAAUGUCGGGUUGAUUUGAUCUCGAAUUGACAUUUUUUUUAGGUAAAAUCAAACCAAUCAAGCAUAGUUGUGGAAUGGAUCGAAAACCACAAUUGACAUUGAAAACUACCGAUAUCCCGUUUGUAAGUUUAAAUCUGGACUCACAGUCCAUUUUAUUUAAUAAAAAUUAGCUCCUAAACGGAUCCACACAUAAAUAUACCAAAAAAGAGUUGGUCGGCUUAUAAGUGGUUAGACCAGGUGAAUAUAAAAGAACAUUAAAUGAUAGGAUUUUCUGAUUUGUGCUCUCUGCCUCUUCUUCUCAUUGUUUACGUUGCUUCUACGAAAAUGUUCUCUUUUGUGCACCACAACGGUAGCUUCUUCCCCCUUUGGUUAUGGGGGAUUAAUAUUCCCCACCUUGAUGUUGUUGCUAUUGUUGCUGCUAUGGAGAGCAACUUUCAAAAGUUCAUUUUUUUAGCCAUCUGGCAUCUUCAUUGAUUUGUUUCUCAACUGACUCUUAUUUUUGUUUGAAGGUGUACUACAAAUUAUUAAGUAUUGCGAAAAAUGGUAGAGAUAAAAUAAAAUUGAUGUUGAGAUUUUAUAAAGUAAAUCCAACUAAUUCAAGAUUGAGGUAUUAUUACAGUUGUUAAAUUUCUAUUUCUGUAGUAUUACUACAAGUCCUAGACACGUGCUUUGCACGUGAGUCCCACAAAAAUAUUAUAUAUGGUAGGAGUUAUAUUAAAAUUACAGUAGACAAAAAUGAAAUUUUAACAAAAACUAUUUAAAUCACAUUUUGAAGAAUUUUAAAAAUGAUUUAACGAAAAAAUAUAAAUGAAAUAAAUGAAAAAUCAGCCUGUACAAAUGGCUUCUUUAUUGUAAAAUGUAAAUGCAAAAUAAUUAGAUAUUCUGAUAACCUGUCAAAUUUGAACAACAAAAUUUAAUGUGAUAAAAUAAUUUAUCUUUUUAUGUUUUUAGAUCUACAAUAUAUUAGUUUGUUACUUUUCUAAGAAAGAGACAACACAUACAUAACACACAUUCUUAAUUUGUAUCAAAGUUUGAUUACCACAUGUACUUGUAACAAGUAUAAAUGUCGUCUCCAUAUUACAUUCAAAUAACAUAGUGUGUUUAUUAUCCUUUGUAGCAUUAACCAAAAAUUCCAAUAGUUUGUUCAUGACUAUUUUACAUACUUCUUAUCAUAUUUUUUAAUAUAUAAAACCAAAGAAGAUACAUACUAGUUUAAUAAAUAGAAGCUCUUUUGGUCCCACACUGCUUAGAAAGAGAGAUUUUAUGUAACCAAGUAACAAAUAAAAUAGCCCGGCACAACAUAUGGAAAAGCAUACCUUUCUCGGCCUUUUGGCUAAGAUCAAGUGUAGUAUCUGUUCUUAUCAGUUUAAUAUCUGAUAUGUGAGUCAUCGACUCACACGAUAUUAACUCUAUUUUUUUAGGGGAAAGGUUCACCAUGGUAGCUUGCUAUCGGGACCUUCAAGAGUCGCCUUGGUGUUGCACUACUGCCUUGGCCUGGCUCACCCCACCAAUUCUAGUUCUAAAAAUCCUUUUGGUUCACAAUAGCACACAAUUUGUACCUUCUAAUAUUGGGCAGUUUGAUCCAUUAAAGCUCAUAUCCGAUGCAUUAAAAUAAAAUCAGAUACUAAACUACAUUUUAGCAUAACUCAUAAAAUCUUGUAAAUGGUGACCAAAAGUAUAAUAAUUCGAUUUUCAUGUAAUCUCUAACGACAUUAUUGCC
rnacentral:lncRNA from 1 species